AUUGAACGCUGGCGGCAUGCCUUACACAUGCAAGUCGAACGGUAACAGGUCUUCGGAUGCUGACGAGUGGCGAACGGGUGAGUAAUACAUCGGAACGUGCCCGAGAGUGGGGGAUAACGAGGCGAAAGCUUUGCUAAUACCGCAUACGAUCUCAGGAUGAAAGCAGGGGACCGCAAGGCCUUGCGCUCACGGAGCGGCCGAUGGCAGAUUAGGUAGUUGGUGGGAUAAAAGCUUACCAAGCCGACGAUCUGUAGCUGGUCUGAGAGGACGACCUGCCACACUGGGACUGAGACACGGCCCAGACUCCUACGGGAGGCAGCAGUGGGGAAUUUUGGACAAUGGGCGCAAGCCAGAUCCAGCCAUGCCGUGUGCAGGAUGAAGGCCUUCGGGUUGUAAACUGCUUUUGUACGGAACGAAAAGACUCUGGUUAAUACCUGGGGUCCAUGACGGUACCGUAAGAAUAAGCACCGGCUAACUACGUGCCAGCAGCCGCAGUAAGAC
rnacentral:rRNA from 1 species